GUCUGGCUGGCUCAGUUGGUAGAGCGUAUGACUAUUGAUCUUGGGGUCAUUGGUUCAAGCCCCAUGUUGGGCA